CUGAAACCAAGGCACAGAAAGGUGUCCCUUGCUGGUGGUGGUGAACACAGUUGACUGGCCCAGCUGGGAUUCCAACCCACUGCGGCCCGGAGUCCCGCUCCCCCCACUGCCCUCCCAGCCCUGCCCGAAGUCCGAGGUCCUCCUCGGCUAAGGCAGCUCCGCCUGCCCUGCUCGCUCUCCACUCUGAAGGGAGCAGCCACACUCUGCCAAGGGCCAAGAGUUGUGUGAGUGUGAGUGUGUGUAAGUAGUUUCUUAAAUUCCAAAUGACCCUAUUUGGAUUCUCCGGGCUACAGUUGGCCAGAGGGAAGAACAAGUGGCCGAGACGCAGAGCACCCGUUGGCUGGUGACACAAACAGGAGGCAGUGAGUUCAUCUGGAAGAAUAAAUCAUACAAAAGAAUAGCAAAUGGAAUUUCAGCAAUGAAGUCCGUCGGCCGUGGACUCGCCCUAUCAGAUACGACGCACGUUAUAAAUAUGUCCUCGUGUGGUUCUAGUGCGGGAACAGACAAAACCUGGAAGCAACACAAGUCCAGAAAAAGGCCCAAGUUUAUGAAAAUGUAAUACGUGAUCGAAGAAGUGAGACAUUUCCCCAUAUCAGGGGUAGCUACGUCAGAAGGCUUGCCCCAUCAACCACACUGGGCUUAGAGUACUGUUCUCAAGACAACAUAGCGUUUGGUUUUCACUCCAAAAUGUCUGUCCAGGUCUAUGAGUCCAUAAAGAUUGGUCCAGAAGAGGACAUUCGACCUAUGCUGCCACAAUCAAAUUCCUGCCUUACCAAGAAGGUGGGGUUGGACGGGAAUCAGCCUCACCUUCGUGUCCGGACACAGGAGCAUGUGAACUGCUCGAAGCUUUCUUCCCUGACGCACAGAGAAAGCUUGCUUGAAAGCAUUGAAAAAUGAGGCCAAUGUAGCACAAGAAGCCAAGCCCCUUACAAACGUAAAAAUCUUUGCAGAAAGUAAGCGGCACAGAAACAGGCUGCGAGUCGGAUCUGGUCCAUGGCCUUCAUUUGCCAAGCUCUGUGCUAAAAAGAAAGGAACGUUUCCUCGUCCGCUAUCUGGCUGCCCUGAAGUGCAGGAUAACCUGGACAAAGGAAGUGGGAUUCUUUCCGCUUCGUUCCCUGUGUUGAGAGUAACCGGUUGGUGCCCUCCUGUCCUCCGAAGGUGACGAGAAUCCGACUCCUGGUGCCACCGCCUGCCUCUCGGCUCACCUUCCACUCCAGGAGUCCUGCAGCAGCCAGCUUUGCACAGGGCACGGCGGGGCUCCCGCUGCAGCCGCACCUCCGCCUUUCCGUUUUCUGUCCCAGAGCUCCAGGGACAUGCGACAAUGGCAGAAAUCUGCAAGGGCUUUUCCACAGAAGGGCAGAAAUACCAGGGGCCAGGUUGCCUCCCCUUGAUUGAGAAGGGAUUUUACUGAUUCAUGACGUGACUCUUGCACUGCCUGGCAGCGUGUCUCCAGGACCAGGCAACACGGGACUCCGUGGCCAUCAGCUGACCUGCCAUGGCCCAGAGGCUGCCGCUGAACCCCCAGGUUGGCCAGGACCCCACCCGCCACAAGGCGUUUGACAGAACUGUGUGAACAUUCAGGCCAGUGCAGUGGGACACAGCCCCCAACUUCUUCACAUCACAACACACAUAGACAAUGACAAUACUGUGUGACCUGUGACGGGUUCAGGGGUCAGCGAUUAGGAACCGCUGCAGUGGAGGGCUGGCGGCCCCGCCCCUGGCCCAUCCUCCUCCUCAAGUUCUGGCGGGAGGCCUCGGUUCCUUUCCGGGGCCUCUGCAGGUUUUGCCCAGAGCCACGUGAUCCCAGAGAGCAAGGGGGAAGCCACCGUACCUCUCACGACCUCGUCUUCAAAGACACGUAUUGUUAUUUCUGCUUCGUUCUCUUCAUUAGGAUCCAGUUGCCAAGCCCAGUCCACACUCCACGGAUUCCGCUUUCUCUCUGUAAUUUCACCUUUUCAACGUCUGCCCCUGGCGUGUAAGCUGUGUAACAAAGGGAUCGUGCA